GGUUUCCAGACUUGAACCUGAAGCAGAGAGGGAAGGAGGAGCCAGGAGGUGGACUGAUGUGAGAGGCGACAGCGGCCCCUGCUGUUGGAAGGCUCAAGCUGCAAGAGAGGAGGCCCCUUCCUGCCUGAGGUGUAGCCCUGCAGCCUGCUACAUGCUUCCCAGGCUGGAGAACACCAACACACCUUCAGUAAGUUAGCCUGGCCAGACCCAGCCUGCCCCCAGUACCAAGUCUU